AAAUCAGCCUUUACAUUACAAUACAAAAGCUAAUUGAUUACAAUAAAAUUAAAAGCUAACGUCAAAAUUGAUAAAAAGGUAGAGGUAUAUUCAAGGCAGCAGCUAAUGUUCAGGUACAGAAAACUCGACAAAUGAUGUUCUACAUUAGAAGAAACCAAGAAAAUAACAAUUAUCGGUUUCUUGAGUGUUUUAAUGGAAUCAUCCUCAUCGGAGAGCUACGAUGAAACCAACACCGUUCGUUUCUUUGAAUUUCUUAAGGAGGGAAGAUGCUGCCUGGGGAUUGAGUGGGUCUAGCUGGGCAGUUAAACAAGUGACGCACAGUGGGCUUAGAAAAAUUUAGUGAAAAUUAGUCUGCCAAUUGUGAACGGAUAUCUUCAAUGGUAACAAUUUUUCCGUAGCCGCCAUAUGAGCAAAUAGAAAGCUCCCUCAGCCUCACAUCAGUGGAUGUAGCAAUUUAUCUAGCCACAAUAUCCAAAAGCAUUAGAUGGUUAGUCCAAGGUAUCUUUUUGAGUACAACAAGUGUACUUUUGUAUACGGUGAAGGCAUGUAAAGCAGUUUUAGUUCUAUGCAGCAUUCGAAAAGCAUGCUGAUGCUCGGCGAAUUGAAAUUGUCUAACGAAAGGAGAGGAAGGAGUAGUCUCUCAUUCGUCUUGGCUACUGAUGAGAGAAGGGAGAUCGGUCUGUACGACUCGCCCAUGCUCGUGUCCUUUUCAGGUUUCAGUAGCGGGAUCAGACUGCCUAUCUUCCAAACAUCGGGUACUAUUGGGUUGCCCAAAAAGUAAUUGCGGAUUUUUCAUAUAGUCGGCGUUGACAAAUUUUUUCACAGCUUGUGACU